UGGGGAAUCUUGCGCAAUGGGCGAAAGUCUGACCCAGCGACGCCGCGUGAGGGAUGAAGGCCUUCGGGUCGUAAACCUCUUUUGCGGGGGAAGAAGUUCUGACGGUACCCCGCGAAUAAGCCACGGCUAACUACGUGCCAGCAGCCGCGGUAAUACGUAGGUGGCAAGCGUUGUCCGGAUUUACUGGGCGUAAAGGGCUUGUAGGCGGUCCGCUAAGUCUGGUGUGAAAUCUCCCGGCUCAACCGGGAGGGGUCAUCGGAUACUGACGGACUUGAGACGGGUAGAGGAAAGCAGAAUUCCCGGUGUAGCGGUGAAAUGCGUAGAUAUCGGGAGGAAUACCAGUGGCGAAGGCGGCUUUCUGGGCCUGUUCUGACGCUGAGGAGCGAAAGCGUGGGGAGCAAACCG
rnacentral:rRNA from 1 species